CCUACGGGUGGCAGCAGUGAGGAAUAUUGGUCAAUGGACGCAAGUCUGAACCAGCCAUGCCGCGUGCAGGAAGACGGCUCUAUGAGUUGUAAACUGCUUUUGUACGAGGGUAAACGCACAUACGCGUAUCUGUCUGAAAGUAUCGUACGAAUAAGGAUCGGCUAACUCCGUGCCAGCAGCCGCGGUAAUACGGAGGAUUCAAGCGUUAUCCGGAUUUAUUGGGUUUAAAGGGUGCGUAGGCGGUAGGAUAAGUUAGAGGUGAAAUCCCGAGGCUCAACUUCGGAAUUGCCUCUGAUACUGUUCGGCUAGAGAGUAGUUGCGGUAGGCGGAAUGUAUGGUGUAGCGGUGAAAUGCUUAGAGAUCAUACAGAACACCGAUUGCGAAGGCAGCUUACCAAGCUACUUCUGACGUUGAGGCACGAAAGCGUGGGGAGCGAACAGGAUUAGAUACCCGGGUAGUC
rnacentral:rRNA from 1 species